rnacentral:rRNA from 1 species
AGCGAACGCUGGCGGCAGGCCUAACACAUGCAAGUCGAACGAACCUUUCGGGGUUAGUGGCGGACGGGAGAGUAACACGUGAGAACGUGCCUUUAGGUUCGGAAUAACUCAGGGAAACUUGUGCUAAUACCGAAUGUGCCCUUCGGGGGAAAGAUUUAUCGCCUUUAGAGCGGCCCGCGGCUGAUUAGCUAGUUGGUUGAGGUAAUGGCUCACCAAGGCGACGAUCAGUAGCUGGUCUGAGAGGAUGAUCAGCCACAUUGGGACUGAGACACGGCCCAAACUCCUACGGGAGGCAGCAGUGGGGAAUCUUGCGCAAUGGGCGAAAGCCUGACGCAGCCAUGCCGCGUGAAUGAUGAAGGUCUUAGGAUUGUAAAAUUCUUUCACCGGGGACGAUAAUGACGGUACCCGGAGAAGAAGCCCCGGCUAACUUCGU